AGGGUUCGAGUUCUGGCUCAGGAUGAACGCUAGCUACAGGCUUAACACAUGCAAGUCGAGGGCAGCAUAAGUUAGCUUGCUAACUUAGAUGGCGACCGGCGCACGGGUGAGUAACGCGUAUCCAACCUUCCCCCUGCUCAGGGAUAGCCCGCUGAAAGGCGGAUUAACACCUGAUAGCUUCACUAGAUGGCAUCUGACGGUGAAUAAAGAUAACGGCAAGGGAGUGGGGAUGCGUCUGAUUAGCUUGUUGGCGGGGUAACGGCCCACCAAGGCAACGAUCAGUAGGGGUUCUGAGAGGAAGGUCCCCCACAUUGGAACUGAGACACGGUCCAAACUCCUACGGGAGGCAGCAGUGAGGAAUAUUGGUCAAUGGGCGAGAGCCUGAACCAGCCAAGUUAAGCGUGCAGGAUGACGGCCCUAUGGGUUGUAAACUGCUUUUGUACGGGAAUAAAGUGACCUACGUGUAGGUUUUUGCAUGUACCGUAAGAAUAAGGACCGGCUAAUUCCGUGCCAGCCGCUGC
rnacentral:rRNA from 1 species